ACAGAGGUGGCAAGCGUUGUUCGGAUUUAUUGGGCGUAAAGGGUCCGUAGGCGGCCUAGAAAGUCGGGUGUGAAAUCCCACAGCUUAACUGUGGAACUGCAUUCGAAACUUCUAGGCUCGAGUGCGAUAGGGGUAAAGGGAAUUCCCGGUGUAAGGGUGAAAUCUGCAGAGAUCGGGAGGAACACCAGUCGCGAAGGCGCUUUACUGGAUCACUACUGACGCUGAGGGACGAAAGCCAGGGGAGCAAACGG
rnacentral:rRNA from 1 species